UACGGAGGGUGCAAGCGUUAAUCGGGAUUACUGGGCGUAAAGCGUGCGCAGGCGGUUUUGUAAGUCUGUCGUGAAAGCCCCGGGCUCAACCUGGGAAUUGCGAUGGAGACUGCAAGGCUUGAAUCUGGCAGAGGGGGGUAGAAUUCCACGUGUAGCAGUGAAAUGCGUAGAGAUGUGGAGGAACACCGAUGGCGAAGGCAGCCCCCUGGGUCAAGAUUGACGCUCAUGCACGAAAGCGUGGGGAGCAAACAGG
rnacentral:rRNA from 1 species